rnacentral:rRNA from 1 species
UGGGGAAUUUUGGACAAUGGGCGCAAGCCUGAUCCAGCAAUGCCGCGUUCAGGAUGAAGGCCUUCGGGUUGUAAACCGCUUUUGUCAGGGAAGAAACGAGUUUCUCUAAUACAGAGAGUUAAUGACGGUACCUGAAGAAUGAGCACCGGCUAACUACGUGCCAGCAGCCGCGGUAAUACGUAGGGUGCAAGCGUUAAUCGGAAUUACUGGGCGUAAAGCGUGCGCAGGCGGUUAUGCAAGACAGAGGUGAAAUCCCCGGGCUCAACCUGGGACCUGCAUUUGUGACUGUAUAGCUAGAGUACGGCAGAGGGGGAUGGAAUUCCGCGUGUAGCAGUGAAAUGCGUAGAUAUGCGGAGGAACACCGAUGGCGAAGGCAAUCCCCUGGGCCUGUACUGACGCUCAUGCACGAAAGCGUGGGGAGCAAACA